rnacentral:lncRNA from 1 species
UCUGUCUUGUUCUUGCUCCCUCUCUCCCUCUUCCUUUGGCUUCAUGUGGCCAUUUGUCACUCUUUGGAUGUUUUUUCCUUUAUCGAGAUGUUUUCUCUGGGAAUGUUUCCCGCCAACGCAAGCCCAUUAACUUCCAGAGUUCAGCUGACAGCCUGGACUCCAAGACCCGUUGCCUUGUGACACUGAGCGCUUUCGAGAUGCUGGAAUUGGUUGGUAAAAUAACCUAGUCACAUGCCUAAGAGGAAAAAGGAAUACUAUUUCAGGGCUGGACCUGAAGGCAAUCUGGAGAGCUGGAGGAAAUUAAAGGACAAGGGGAGGUUUUGCAUUUGUAUCGUUAAUUCCUGGAUGGAAUGUGAAAAGGAGAAAUGAGGAAAAAAGCAUAAGAAAUUGCCUAUGUAAAUAAUAGGCAGGGUGUACCCAUCUUGGAUGGAAAUGGGCAACCAGAAAUCGCUCACCAGAGCCUUGUUAAACACACAAGUAGAAGUUGGGGUUUAGGGUUUUAUUCGUGAGAAAGUUAUU